GAGGAAUAUUGGUCAAUGGGCGAGAGCCUGAACCAGCCAAGUCGCGUGAAGGAAGACGGUUCUAUGGAUUGUAAACUUCUUUUGUAAGGGAAUAAAGUUCACUACGUGUAGUGUUUUGUAUGUACUUUACGAAUAAGGAUCGGCUAACUCCGUGCCAGCAGCCGCGGUAAUACGGAGGAUCCAAGCGUUAUCCGGAUUUAUUGGGUUUAAAGGGUGCGUAGGCGGACCCAUAAGUCAGUGGUGAAAGUUUGCAGCUUAACUGUAAAAUUGCCGUUGAAACUGUGGGUCUUGAGUGUAAAUAAAGUAGGCGGAAUGUGUUGUGUAGCGGUGAAAUGCUUAGAUAUAACACAGAACACCAAUUGCGAAGGCAGCUUACUGGGAUACAACUGACGCUGAGGCACGAAAGCGUGGGGAUCAAAC
rnacentral:rRNA from 1 species